ACGGGAGGCAGCAGUGGGGAAUAUUGCACAAUGGGGGAAACCCUGAUGCAGCAACGCCGCGUGAGCGAAGAAGGCCUUUGGGUCGUAAAGCUCUGUCCUAAGGGAAGAACAAAUGACGGUACCUUAGGAGGAAGCCCCGGCUAACUACGUGCCAGCAGCCGCGGUAAUA
rnacentral:rRNA from 1 species